GGGGAAUUUUGGACAAUGGGCGAAAGCCUGAUCCAGCCAUGCCGCGUGAGUGAAGAAGGCCUUCGGGUUGUAAAGCUCUUUCGGUCGGGAAGAAAUAGUUGCGGCUAAUAUCUGCAAUAAAUGACGGUACCGACAUAAGAAGCACCGGCUAACUACGUGCCAGCAGCCGCGGUAAUACGUAGGGUGCAAGCGUUAAUCGGAAUUAUUGGGCGUAAAGGGUGCGCAGGUGGUUAUAUAAGUCAGAUGUGAAAUCCCUGGGCUUAACCUAGGAAUUGCGUUUGAAACUAUAUAGCUAGAGUGUGGCAGAGGGGAGUGGAAUUCCAUGUGUAGCAGUGAAAUGCGUAGAGAUGUGGAAGAACACCGAUGGCGAAGGCAGCUCCCUGGGUUAACACUGACGCUCAUGCACGAAAGCGUGGGGAGCAA
rnacentral:rRNA from 1 species